UACACUCCUGCGGGAGGCAGCAGUGGGGAAUAUUGGACAAUGGGCGCAAGCCUGAUCCAGCCAUGCCGCGUGAGUGAUGAAGGCCCUAGGGUUGUAAAGCUCUUUCACCGGAGAAGAUAAUGACGGUAUCCGGAGAAGAAGCCCCGGCUAACUUCGUGCCAGCAGCCGCGGUAAUACGAAGGGGGCUAGCGUUGUUCGGAAUUACUGGGCGUAAAGCGCACGUAGGCGGAUCGAUCAGUCAGGGGUGAAAUCCCAGGGCUCAACCCUGGAACUGCCUUUGAUACUGUCGAUCUGGAGUAUGGAAGAGGUGAGUGGAAUUCCGAGUGUAGAGGUGAAAUUCGUAGAUAUUCGGAGGAAUACCAGUGGCGAAGGCGGCUCACUGGUCCAUUACUGACGCUGAGGUGCGAAAGCGUGGGGAGCAAACAGGAUUAGAAACCCCAGUAGUCCCAUG
rnacentral:rRNA from 1 species